UAUUCUCAGGGUAGGGUGAAAUUCCCAAUCGGCGGUAAUCAAUAUUGAAAGUCCGCAAGCGUUUCUUUUUAGAAAGUCAGCAGAACCGGUGCGAAUCCGGUACCGACAGUUAAAGUCUGGAUGAAAGAGAGU
rnacentral:ncRNA from 1 species